AAGAGACAGCAGUAGCCACGGUAAUACAGAGGGUGCGAGCGUUAAUCGGAUUUACUGGGCGUAAAGCGUGCGUAGGCGGCUUCUUAAGUCGGAUGUGAAAUCCCUGAGCUUAACUUAGGAAUUGCAUUCGAUACUGGGAAGCUAGAGUAUGGGAGAGGAUGGUAGAAUUCCAGGUGUAGCGGUGAAAUGCGUAGAGAUCUGGAGGAACACCAGUGGCGAAGGCGGCUGACUGGUCCACAACUGACGCUGAGGUGCGAAAGCGUGGGGAGCAAACAGGAUUAGAUACCCCAGUAGUCCCUGUCUCUUAUAC
rnacentral:rRNA from 1 species